UAUCCAACCUGCCCAUCACUUGGGGAUAACCUUGCGAAAGUAAGGACUAAUACCCAAUGAUAUCUCUAGAAGACAUCUGAAAGAGAUUAAAGAUUUAUCGGUGAUGGAUGGGGAUGCGUCUGAUUAGCUUGUUGGCGGGGUAACGGCCCACCAAGGCGACGAUCAGUAGGGGGUUCUGAGAGGAAGGUCCCCCACAUUGGAACUGAGACACGGUCCAAACUCCUACGGGAGGCAGCAGUGAGGAAUAUUGGUCAAUGGACGAGAGUCUGAACCAGCCAAGUAGCGUGCAGGAUGACGGCCCUAUGGGUUGUAAACUGCUUUUAUAAGGGAAUAAAGUGAGUCUCGUGAGGCUUUUUGCAUGUACCUUAUGAAUAAGGACCGGCUAAUUCCGUG
rnacentral:rRNA from 1 species